AGAGCGAACGCUGGCGGCAGGCUUAACACAUGCAAGUCGAACGCUCGUAGCAAUACGGGAGUGGCAGACGGGUGAGUAACGCGUGGGAACAUGCCCUUUGGUUCGGAAUAACUCAGGGAAACUUGAGCUAAUACCGGAUAAGCCCCUUACGGGGGAAAGAUUUAUCGCCGAAGGAUUGGCCCGCGUCCGAUUAGCUAGUUGGUGAGGUAAUGGCUCACCAAGGCGACGAUCGGUAGCUGGUCUGAGAGGAUGAUCAGCCACACUGGGACUGAGACACGGCCCAGACUCCUACGGGAGGCAGCAGUGGGGAAUAUUGGACAAUGGGGGCAACCCUGAUCCAGCCAUGCCGCGUGAGUGAUGAAGGCCCUAGGGUUGUAAAGCUCUUUCGACGGGGACGAUAAUGACGGUACCCGUAGAAGAAGCCCGGCUAACUUCGUGCCAGCAGCCGC
rnacentral:rRNA from 1 species